rnacentral:rRNA from 1 species
AACGAACGCUGGCGGCAGGCUUAACACAUGCAAGUCGAGCGCCCCGCAAGGGGAGCGGCAGACGGGUGAGUAACGCGUGGGAACAUACCCUUUCCCGCGGACUCGCUCCGGGAAACUGGAAUUAAUACCGCCUACGCCCUACGGGGGAAAGAUUUAUCGGGGAAGGAUUGGCCCGCGUGGGAUUAGCUAGUUGGUGGGGUAAAGGCCUACCAAGGCGACGAUCCAUAGCUGGUCUGAGAGGAUGAUCAGCCACAUUGGGACUGAGACACGGCCCAAACUCCUACGGGAGGCAGCAGUGGGGAAUAUUGGACAAUGGGCGCAAGCCUGAUCCAGCCAUGCCGCGUGAGUGAUGAAGGCCUUAGGGUUGUAAAGCUCUUUCACCGGAGAAGAUAAUGACGGUAUCCGGAGAAGAAGCCCCGGCUAACUUCGUGCCAGCCGCCGCGGUAA